GUAUUUUAGUAUAUUAUUGUCCAUGUAAUUGUGGUUACUCAUUUCAUUCAUUUAUUCACUCACUGACUUUUUGCUCUUGCAUCACUGGAAAUGAUUAGAAAAUUAUGUCAGCGUGCACUGGCAUAACAGUGCAUGAUAAUAAAAAUAGCUUUUAUGGCUGCUUUUUACUUGCAGUUCGUGUAAGAACAUUUUCACUUCAGUUUCUGCUUUUACAGGGAUAGUUAACCCAAAAAUCAAAAUUAUGAUCAUGUAUUCACCUUCACUUCAGUCCUAACCUGUAUGACUUUCUUUCUUCUGCUGAACACACAAGAAGAUAUUAUCAAGAAUGUUUUAACUGCUUUGGUCUAUACCAGGGGUGUCAAACUCAAUUCCUGGAGGGCCGGAGCCCUGCAGAACUUUGUUCCAACCCUGUUUCAACACACAUACCACGUCUAAAAUAUUUUUUUCCAAAAUAUCUUGUUUUGUUCCACAGAAGAAGAAAAAAAGUCAUUCAGGUUUGAAACCAUAAGAGAGCGAGUAAAUGAUGACAGAGUGCUCAUUUUUGGGUGAACAAUCCCUUUAAUAAAUCUCAAUUUUGACUUGGGAUCAAAUCUGAUCUUAUGUGCAUUUUAUAAAUGAGGCCCUUGAUUCUUUUCGUGCCUUACUUUUGUGCUCCCCAUCUCUUCCCCUUUCCCCAUCCUCCCCCUCUCUUCUCCCCUUUUCCUCUCUUUUGACUGAAUGCACUUGUGUUUUUCCUCGGCCUUGUGCAUAUCAAUGUAUGUGUGUGUUGUGUGUGUACCUAGCUGGGGGACUCCGGGGUUACAUCAUAUCACAACUCCAUGUACUCACCUAGUUGCCUUCAGUUUCCAUUGUCUCAUUCAGACCAACCCAGCUAUCUUCAUCUCCUUCCAUCAUCUUCACCCCCGUCUCAGCAGCCUGGGCCUUCCAGAGGGGCCCCAGGACGUCUCCAGAGGUUCUCCGAGUUUCUGGCUGUGUUUGACCGGCGUCAAGCUCUCUCCAGUGGGAAGCACUACGGUCCAGCAGUGAGGUGUAUUGGAAGACAUCCUCUCUAAAGCUCUCACCCAACCAAUUGGCUUUGGACCAGGUCCUCCAGCCCUGGAACAUUUCCACAGAUGCGUUUGUUCCCCUGGAUGACCCCUCUGCACACCCCAUCCCAUUCUUGUCACAGUUUCCUGGAGAACUGGAAGGAGCACGUCCAGAGACCUGAUGCCAUCCUCAAUCACCCUGCACUUUGUAUUGUACCUGGGAUGACGCCCUUAAGUUACCCUGCUAUAGUUGGUAAAUCUUUCCAUGCAGAAGCCCCUGAAGCUCGAUCCACAGCAUGACGGAAAGAGACACCAAAACUAACUUUUCUUUUUAUUUACGAGCUCUGGGAUGGCGUGAUUCUUUGGGGCUGAGGUGUGUGUGUGUAUGACUAACCUAUAGUCAGACUUGCAGCAUGCAAUGAAAGGAGCGUGGUGUUUAGAUUUGGACUCCCGCAGUGAGCCAUCCAACCCAGAGCACUUAACUUAAUUAACCCCAACAUUCAAUUAAUUGCAGAGGAGAAGCAUACGGUACCUCCUUGCUGCACUAGACGGUAAAUGUGUGUUUGUGUGUAUGCGUGUGUGCAUGUGUUGGGUGGUAAAAGGGGAGGGGCUUAUUGUAACCCUGCCCUCAUUUAUACUACAGGUCAAAAGUUUGGAAUGAUUAAGAUUUUUUAAAUAUUUUAAAUAAGAUGUCUCAAGUGAACAAAAAUACAGUAAAAGCAGUAAAAUUGUUAAAAAUUAUUACAAUUUAAAGCAUUGUUUUUCAUUUGAAUAUAUUUCACAAUAAAUAUUUAGCAGCUUGACAGUUUUUAACAUUGAUUUUAAUAGUGUUAAUAAAUGUUUCUCAAGCACCAAAAAAAAAAAAUUCUGAAAGGAUCAUGUGACACUGAAGACCGGAGUAAUGGAAUAAAUUACACUUUAAAAUAUAUUUAAAUAUAAAACAGUUAUUUUAAAUUGUAAUAAUAUUUCAUAGUGUUUUUAUAGUAUUUUUAAUCAAAUAAAUGCAGCAUCAGUGAGCUUACGAGAUAUUAAAAAAUUUUAAUUAUUCCAAACUUUUGACCGAUAGGGUAGAAAAAACCAUUCUUUACCCUUCCUCCUCGCCUGUUCCACGGAUACAAGUUCUCAGCAAACCAACGUCCCAGAAUCGUCAUCGCUUUGCUGAACAUUUUUUCCCAAGCAACUCUCCUGCGUACGUUUUUUGGUAGCGGGAUGGGUUAAUGUCAUGUACAUGUAGAUGCUAAGUACUUCAACCUGUACUAAGUGAAUCGAGAUGUUUUGUACGGUGUCAUCUCUCAGCUCUGGUGCUUUUUGUUGGAGCAAGCAUGUAAAUCUGCGGCCCUGGCGCUGAGCGUGGAAUGAGACUGUCUCUUCUCACCUUUUUCCUCCUAUUUCUCUGAUACGGGCAUUCCCUGUAGCACACAGCUGUUUUGUGUCUCGUGUUACAGGCAAAGACUGUUUGACUGAACAUACACUAACAAAUGAGUUUAUUGUUAAUAAAAAACUACAACAUCUUAAGAAAUAUACAGAGGAAUGGAGAAACUACGUAAUGACGUUAUGGAAUGUUAAUCAGUUCUAGUGGUAAUAAUUAUUAUCUGCAUUAAGACAAGUAUAGUACACUUCAGAAGUGUAAAGCUGGAGAAAAACUGCUAUUUUAAUGACAGUUCUCCCAUUUAUACAGGGAGAUAUGCCAAGUUAAGCUUCCUUUUUAUUGUUUAUUUUACUUGAUUCAUUUUUUUUGUUUGUUUUUUUUUAAACUUGCAGUGACACUGAAACCACAGCUAUGAGUCUGGCACAUGAUGGAUCUUCGGGCCUGUAAUAAUUGAGGGGUCUCAUCCCAUUCGAUUUUUGUAGAAUCUAUAUUAUUUCUAGAUUUUACUUUAAUCAACACAGCUGAAGAAUGUUCGGCCCUGAUAGCAUAGAUAGCCUGAAAUUUGGACAGUAUUAUGUAUAUGGGGCCUUGAGCAAGGAAUGCUUUCAUACUAUUAUUCAAAUAAACGUAAUAGGAUUUGUGAGAUGUAUUAACGAUACUCCGAUAUUGAUCAACAGAUGUUUCAUAUCACAAUAUAAUAUGAUUAAUGCAGUAUUUAACUUUUCAUUUUAAUCAUAUUGUGCUGUGAUAUGUAUUAUUUUUUCAUUAAAAGCCUUUGAGUGCAGAAAUUAAAAUGAUUAUAAAAGAAAUUACGUACAGAGAUCUAGAUCUUAUUUAACUCUGUCUUAACCAAAGAUUGGCUCUAACAUAAAGAUAUGUUGUUGUUGUUUUCAUUUAUUCAUCUUUCCUUUCGUUUAAAGGAUUUUUGAGAAUGUAGCAAAGGUGGUAUAUGAGUAUGCUAUGCAAAUUGCUCUCUCCUGAACUACCAGCAAAGAGUCAGACUGGGACAAAAUCAAAUACUUUUUCUUUUUUUCCUAUAUACUGAGGAAGAAAAUGAUUUCCUGCUGAAUUGUUGAAUCUUUACUUAAUAAUGUCUGUACAGUUAACAGCCUUUGAAUGCACGUUGUAGCUGGUGGGAGGAGGAUUUCUCAAAGAUGAAAUGGCAUUUCAAAGUUUUCCAUUGGGGACUCAUUUGUAAAUGCUUGAGGUUGAGUGAACUUGUAUUUUUGCAAUAAAGUUAUUACCAAUGCACUCCAGCAGGGGCGCUGCACAAACG
ensembl:lncRNA